GGGCCCGCACAAGCGGUGGAGUAUGUGGUUUAAUUCGAUGCAACGCGAAGAACCUUACCAGGGUUUGACAUCCCCCUGACCGGUACAGAGAUGUAUCUUCCCCUUCGGGGCAGGGUGACAGGUGGUGCAUGGCUGUCGUCAGCUCGUGUCGUGAGAUGUUGGGUUAAGUCCCGCAACGAGCGCAACCCACGUCUUUAGUUGCCAGCAUUUAGUUGGGCACUCUAGAGAGACCGCCGGUGAUAAACCGGAGAAGGUGUGGAUGACGUCAAGUCAUCAUGCCCCUUACAUCUGGGCUACACACGUACUACAAUGCUACGGACAAAGGGCAGCAAACUCGCGAGAGCUAGCAAAUCCCAUAAACGUGGCUC
rnacentral:rRNA from 1 species